GACGAACGCUGGCGGCGUGCUUAACACAUGCAAGUCGAACGAAGUGGCGAACGGGUGAGUAACGCGUAAUCAACCUGCCCUUCAGAGGGGGACAACAGUUGGAAACGACUGCUAAUACCGCAUACUGAAGGAGGGGAUUGCGUUUGAUUAGCUAGUUGGAGGGGUAAUGGCCCACCAAGGCGACGAUCAGUAGCCGGGCGGGGGGGAUGAACGGCCCCAUUGGGACCGGGACACGGCCCCGACGCCUUCGGGAGGCAGGAGGGGGGAAACUUCCGCAAUGGACGAAAGUCUGACGGAGCAACGCCGCGUGAUUGAUGACGGCCUUCGGGUUGUAAAGCUCUGUUAAUCGGGACGCGGUACCGGAAGAGAAAGCCACGGCUAACUACGUGCCAGCAGCCGCGGUAAUUC
rnacentral:rRNA from 1 species